rfam:Oryza punctata chromosome 7, whole genome shotgun sequence.
UUUAAGUGCAGUCAAAUAAUUUGGUGUUCAACGUUUGAUCGUUCGUAUUAUUUAAAAUUUUUUAUGAUUAGUAUUUUUAUUGUUAUUAUAUGAUAAAACACGAAUAAUAUGUUAUGUGUGUCUUAUUUUUAGUUUUUUCAUAAAUUUUUCAAAUAAGACAGAUGGUCAAACGUUGCGUAAAAAAACCGAUAACUACACUUAAA